AUUGAACGCUGGCGGCAUGCCUUACACAUGCAAGUCGAACGGCAGCACGGGUGCUUGCACCUGGUGGCGAGUGGCGAACGGGUGAGUAAUACAUCGGAACAUGUCCUGUAGUGGGGGAUAGCCCGGCGAAAGCCGGAUUAAUACCGCAUACGAUCUACGGAUGAAAGCGGGGGACCUUCGGGCCUCGCGCUAUAGGGUUGGCCGAUGGCUGAUUAGCUAGUUGGUGGGGUAAAGGCCUACCAAGGCGACGAUCAGUAGCUGGUCUGAGAGGACGACCAGCCACCCGGGGACUGAGACACGGCCCAGACCCCUACGGGAGGGAGGAGGGGGGAAUUUUGGACAAUGGGCGAAAGCCUGAUCCAGAAAUGCCGCGUGUGGGAAGAAGGCCUUCGGGUUGUAAAGCACUUUUGUCCGGAAAGAAAUCCUUGCCCCUAAUACGGCGGGGGGAUGACGGUACCGGAAAAAUAAGCACCGGCUAACUACGU
rnacentral:rRNA from 1 species